GGGCAGUUGGUCUAGUGGUAAGACGCGCCUGUAAUAACCAAGAUUGCAAGGCUUCGGGUUCGAGUCCCACUGUGCG